UACAGAGGGGGCAAGCGUUGUUCGGAAUUACUGGGCGUAAAGGGCGCGUAGGCGGCCUGUUAAGUCGGACGUGAAAUCCCUGGGCUCAACCCAGGAACUGCGUCCGAUACUGGCAGGCUUGAAUCCGGGAGAGGGAUGCGGAAUUCCAGGUGUAGCGGUGAAAUGCGUAGAUAUCUGGAGGAACACCGGUGGCGAAGGCGGCAUCCUGGACCGGCAUUGACGCUGAGGCGCGAAAGCCAGGGGAGCAAACGGG
rnacentral:rRNA from 1 species